AAGAAAACAAAUAUGGCGACCUCCAGUAGCGAUGGGAAAAUAGAAGAUUUUUUAAAACCCGAGGCAAAUAUAGCUUUAAUUUAAUAAUUUUUGAAGCACCAUUCAAUGAGUUUGGAAGAAAAUAUAUUUGUCUAUAUAAAUGGGUAUUUUUCUUUAUGGACUAUUUUGGGGGUUACAGUAAAGACCUGAAAGUGGAUUAAUAAUAAACAUAGACGAAAAAUAUGGUUGAUAACUUUUCAUGUUCGAUGUCAUUUGGUCUCUUGUUGAAAUCUGUCUCAUUGGAAUCACACCACAUCUUCUUUCUAUUUUUUAUUGACGGAAGAUACUAACAUGAUACGCAAAACUGAUUAAAGAAUAAAAGAAGACGGGAGAUACCAAAGAAUAAUCAAAAUUCGCAUGUUAAAACGUACAAGUCAAAGAGACAUGAUAUACCAUAUUCAACAUCGACUUAUAAAACAUUUGCAUUUUCAUUCAACAAUCAAGCAGAGUCAAAAGCAACUUGUAAUAAAAAUAUUUAACGAUUAGCAUAAAAUGAGGUUUUAUUAGUUACACAUAAUUACAUAAUUAUACACAAUUAAAUCACAUUAUAGAUAACAAUGAAAACACUAAUUGAAACAAAUAUUGUAGAACAAGGACGUAUAACUAAUAUACGUCCUUGUGUAGAACAAGUUUCUCAAUUGUCAUGUAAUUACGCUUAUAAAAACAAAAUGAUAAUACAAAUCUAAAAAAGUUUAAUCCUUUAAUUUCAUCAAGAUUAAUAUUCCUCGUAAAAAUACUUAAAAAAUAGAUUUUUGUUAAUUAAAAAGAAAACUUAGUGACUCAACAUACUGUAAAAGUGUUAAUAAUCUAGAAUAAUUGUGUAUUAAAAAAUACUUAAUUUAUGUAUUGAAUAAAAAAAUCUGCUGUCAGAAAAAUGCGUUUACAUACUGUAAAUUUACUAAAAGUACACAAAACUAUAAAACAUUAAAAUGCUAUAUUAUUCACAGUCUACUUUAAUCACAUAUAAAAUUACUUUUACUCUAAUAUAAAAUUUGUAUAUUCAUGAAGUUAAAUACACUGUCUUAUGUUCAUCACAAAACCAAUCACUGCUAACCCCUGCACAAGUUUGAUGACUCCAUUUGUUACAUGUAACUCUUCCUCUUUUAGCUUUGCACCCUAUCAUAUUUUCGUGUAAAUCGGGUUUCCCACAUAAGCAAAUACAUACAAUCUUUCUCUGGUGUAUUCCAACUUGACGAAAUUCCAUCCAAUAAUAAAAGUUAUUGCAAUUUGAAUAAUUUUAGUCGUAUAUUUUCAGGUCUUUUCACGUCCACUUUCAGGUCUUUAGUGUAACCCCUAUUUUGGUGCACCAAUCAAAGAAACAGAUGAUAUUUCUAAAAUUGAAAAUUAUGGCAACAAGACAUUUUGGCCAUGGAACUAGCUCGGCCUUGGUGGUUUCAGCCUUGUUAUAAAAGUAGUUUCAGGAUUUAGAUUUCUUAAAAUUCGGGAUGUCAGGAUUUAGAUUUCUAUAAAUUUGGGACCUCAGGAUUUCAUGUUUUUAAGCCAAGGAUUUUGGGAUCAGGACCCCUCAUACCCUUCUUUAUUACACUUUUAGUCAUGAUGUUUAUUAUAAAAAAAUGGUGAUAAUAAUACAGAAUGUUUAACUUUAACUUUAAAGUUGCAUUUGUCUCAUUUAAGAAACUCUCCACAAGAGACCAAAUGAUAUAGAGUUAACAUCUAUAGGUCACUGUACCAUUAUACUGUCGUCAACAAAGAUCAGAACCCAUGCCACAUACAUGUAUAUAUAGUCAGCUAUAAGGAAAAAAAUGUUUAUUGGGCCGAAACAACCAAAGGCCCAGCUAGUGUAUGGCCUAAGAGACUGUAGGCAGAAAGUGAUCAUGGUCUAAACAUCUCGAAAGCGUAUGAAAUGAUUGGUUUUGUCAAUGUCCUGUUAACUACAUUUGUACAUGUACAUUGUAUAACAGCUAUGAUUACCCUGACACACAAAAAAGUGAAAUCACAAAAAUACUGAACUACAAUGUAUGAGAAAAAUUCAAAAUGGAAAAUCCCUAAUUAAAUGGAUAAAUCAAAUGAAUGAAUAACAACUGUCAUAUUCCUGACUUAGUACAGGCAUUUUCUUAUAAUUGUAGAAAAUGGGGGAUUGAACCUGGUUUUAUAGGGCUAAACCUCUCACUCGUACGACAGUCACAUCAAAUUCCAUUAUAUUGGUAAAAGAGGCUUGAACAAAACCAAGUUGCAGGCUUGAAUAUAUGGCUCUUGAUUUAAUAUUCAUUAAAAAGAAUUCAACCAAAGAACUGAAUUAUAAUACAUUUAAUUCUUUAUACUGCAUUUAUAUAUUUUCAACAGUAUGAACAGUGCAUGGUAUGUACUGGUUUCCUUGGCAGUAAUUUUGGACAACCUGUGUGUAGCAGUUGUCAUCUAUUUCUCUUCUCUAAUGACAUUAACUUAGAGGAGGGAGAGCAGGAAGUUUACAAUGAGGUAUG
rnacentral:lncRNA from 1 species